UGGGGAAUAUUGCGCAAUGGAGGCAACUCUGACGCAGCCAUGCCGCGUGUGUGAAGAAGGCCCUCGGGUUGUAAAGCACUUUCAAUUGGGAGAAAAAGCUUGUCGUUAAUAGCGGCAAGCCUUGAUGUUACCUUUUAGAAGAAGCACCGGCUAACUCCGUGCCAGCAGCCGCGGUAAUACGGAGGGUGCGAGCGUUAAUCGGAAUUACUGGGCGUAAAGCGCGCGUAGGCGGUUGCUUAAGUCGGAUGUGAAAGCCCCGGGCUCAACCUGGGAACUGCAUUCGAUACUGGGCGACUAGAGUACGAGAGAGGGAGGUAGAAUUCCACGUGUAGCGGUGAAAUGCGUAGAUAUGUGGAGGAAUACCGGUGGCGAAGGCGGCCUCCUGGCUCGAUACUGACGCUGAGGUGCGAAAAGCGUGGGGAGCAAAACAGGAUUAGAUACCCUGGUAGUCCACGCCGUAAACGAUGUCUACUAGCCGUUGGGGUACUUGAGACCUUAGUGGCGCAGCUAACGCACUAAGUAGACCGCCUGGGAGUACGGUC
rnacentral:rRNA from 1 species